rnacentral:rRNA from 1 species
AUAACAAUACAGGGCUUUUUGGUUUUGUAAUUGGAAUGAGUUAAGUAUAAACCCCUUAACAAGUAUCAAUUGGAGGGCAAGUCUGGUGCCAGCAGCCGCGGUUAAUUCCAGCUCCAAUAGCGUAUAUUAAAGUUGUUGCAGUUAAAAAGCUCGUAGU